GUAGCCCACGUGCUGUAUACGUCAACAAGGGCUUGCCAUUCGAAUGACAAAGUCAAGAAGCAGGAGUCGAGUUUAUUGAUAAAAUAGCCUAUGCUGGUGGUAAGAAAGGAGAAUUGUGGUGUCUAGUCUUUUUUUCGCUUGGAGAGGGGUUCUCUUCCUCCCUCUCUCCACUCAUCCUCUCCUCCUCUCCAGCUAGGCGGGUGCCCUAUUUAGAAGCACCUUGGUGUGUUUAGUUUACGUGGGCUCACCCGAGCGAUUGACUCGCGCUUUCUUCCUUUCCACCCAUCAACUGUGUGCCCUGUCAGUCCGCCAGACCGUCAUGACUUAUGUAUGAACAUUGCACGGAUACAUUAAACGCCGUUGGAUACCUACUACGUAACCCGAGGAAUCAAGAAGUUCCACAUAGCGAGUAGCACAUUGCAGAGUUCCAAACCAUUAUCGCGGUUUGCGCCUCCGUGGCAAUCCUAUACGACGUCCUUUAUGACAACAAAGAUGACAUGGCGGCCCCAGUAUCGCACGUCCAAGUUCCGGCACGUGUUCGGCAAGGCCGCCGCCAAGGAGAACUGCUACGACGGCGUCCCCAUCACCCGGAGCGUCCAGGACAACAACUUCUGCGCCGUCAACCCGCACUUCGUCGCCGUCAUCACAGAGUGCGCCGGGGGCGGAGCCUUUCUGGUCCUCUCCAUUCGCCACACGGGGAAAGUGGACCCCCACCACCCGCGAGUGUGCGGCCACAAGGGGAACGUGCUGGACAUCAAAUGGAACCCCUUCAACGACUUCUGCAUCGCGUCCUGCUCUGAGGACACUACUGUGAAAAUCUGGGACAUUCCAAAGCAUGGCGUAAUGAAGGACAUCACGGUCCCCACGAAGGAGCUGCAGGGUCACUCUCGGAGGGUGGGGUUCAUCGAGUGGCACCCCACCGCCAGCAACGUGCUCUUCAGCACGGCCUACGACUACAAGGUGAUGGUGUGGAACCUGGACACGCCGGAGCAGGUGAUCAAGAACCCGGUGAAGACCAUCAGCGAGCACUCGGACCUGGUGCUCUCCAUGAGCUUCAACACCGACGGCAGCAGGCUGGCUACGUCCUGCAAGGACAAGAAGAUACGCAUCAUAGAGACUCGCACUGGGAGACUCCUACAGGAAGCGAACUGCAAGUCGCAUAAAGCCAGCAAGGUGUUCUUUCUGGGGAACCUGAAGAUGCUCCUUUCAACAGGAAACUCGCGGUGGAACCACAGGCAAAUAGCUCUGUGGGAUCAGGAGGACCUGUCGGUGCCGCUGGCAGAAGAGGACCUGGAUGGCUCCUCUGGUGUUCUGUUCCCCUUCUAUGACCCUGAUACUCACAUGCUGUACCUAGCUGGAAAGGGCGACGGUAAUAUCAGAUAUUAUGAAAUCAGCUCGGAGAAACCCUACGUGCAGUACCUCAGCGAACAUCGUUCCAUCCUCCCACAGAAGGGAAUGGGGGUCAUGCCAAAGAGGGGUCUGGACGUGUGCUCCUGCGAGGUGUUCCGUUUUUACAGGCUGGUGACGAUCAAGAGCCUCAUCGAGCCGCUCUCCAUGAUCGUCCCGCGCAGGUCGGAAUCAUACCAGGAAGACAUCUACCCCAUGACCGCAGGGGACCGGCCAGCGAUGACUGCGGGAGAGUGGUUUACGGGGAUGGACAAAGGCCCAGUCCUGAUGUCCCUGAAGCCUGGGAGUAGAUUAGCAGACCUGUACCCAGAGAAGGACACAUCCCUGGGGGGCACGCCCUACCAGAGCCGGGCCGGGCUCCUGGAGCUCAGUCCCCUGGAGGGCCAAGACGCUAAGGGCCCAAACACCCUCAAUGCCCCGUCCAAGGAGGACCAGACCCAGGGCACAGUCUGGACCACCACGUCCAAUGGGUGCGAGCUCAUGCAGUGUUCCCCUCCUAAAACUGAGAACGAGCUCCGACAGGCGUUUUUCCAGCAGCAGAAUGAGAUUCGUCGGCUAAUGGAUCUGCUGAACCAGAGGGAUGUGCGGAUUAAACAGUUAGAGCUGGAAAUCAACAAUGUGAAGAACUCACGGGGACCACCAUGACACCUGCCAGGUCCCCCCGCACCCCCCCGGGGACCACCAUGACACCUGCCAGGUCCCCCCCCACAACCCCCCCUACACCGCACCCCCUCCCCCCCACUGCACCCCUCACCCCCCCGGGGACCCUUUCUAUGAAUGUAACUCCAGGGCUGCACGGUGCAUCCUCUCAUCGUCCCUUAUGUAAAUAGCUUUUAAUUCAAAAUCUUCCUCCUAAGAUAGGCACUGAUUUUUUAUGUUAACUGACCAAUUCUAAAGGGGACCUUUAGCUUUAAAAAAAAAAGAAAAAAAAAGAAUAUUUUUUAAAAAGUUGAGCUGGAAGAUUAUCUCAUGCAGCAUGCACUGUAUUUUUACUGGAACAUAUAAUUACUUUUCCUUUGUAAAUAUAAUAUAUUUUAAAUGGGCCCUAAAGGACAGGGGUUUGGCCCCUGACAGGUGGAGACCUGGCCGUGUGCUGUUCCUGGGUCUUACUAUAACCCACCCAGGUGCCUUCUGCUCAUUUCAGCGAUGUCACAGAUAUGCAAAUUCGCUUUUUACAUUUAAAAAUGUACAUGUGCCUGUGUUCAAUGAAUGAUGUGGGUGGUCUGCUUGUCAAAGUCUAGGACAGAGGAGACAGAACUUCUGUAGGUGACUGUUUGGUUUUUUAAAUGUUUUUUUCCCCAGUUUUGAAUGUCAAACCACAUAAUGACAAACCAGUCCUCUGAAACAUGUUAGGAGUCGCACGGCCAGUGUAGCACCCCCCUGUGCGUCUGCCUUGACACAGUCCAUAUCAGGCCAUGGGACACGUUCAUUUAUGUGAUUUAUUUUAUGUAUUUAAACUAUUGUACAUUAAUGUUGUUAUCUCAAAACCUGCAUCAAAAGAAGUGCUUUAUACUUAGUUUAUUGAUAGAACUAUUUGAGUUGGUUGGUUGAACUCUCGACAGUGAAGCACCUAAACGGUUUUUGAUGUCUGAUUCUGUGAGAUAUAACUUAAACUAACAGCAGUGAAAAAUUAAUUUGACCGCUUUUUCAAUUCUUCUGACUGCCUAGUUGCAUGUCCAAUCCCAAGGAGGGACAUAUCCCCUUGUAGUCUUUGUACCUUAGUUAGACUUGUUUCUGUUUUUUUAUUGCUUUUAGUUACAUUUUUAUAUUUCUGAAAAAAGAAAAAAUAAUCUCUAACUCGCCAAAUGAAUAAUUGUGAACAAUAUUUCAUAUUAUGUUUCCCUGAGACCAGACUGUAACUGUCAAACCAAAGAGCUAGAUUCUGUACUGCCCGUACUGGUCCCCAAUAAACUACCCAGAAUCCUUUGCCACACAGCAACUGCCUGUGUGACAGUUCCUCAUUGGUAGAAUCAAGUGUAUGCAUUUCAUUUGCAGCGAGGAACUAUUCAGUCUAGCUGUAAAUCCUUGACAUAGUUUGUUUUACAAAUUACUGAAUACUAUCGAGUUAAAAGUUUAGAACCAUAAUAGUUUAUCAAAAUCUUUAAGGGCAAAUUAAAGAACAAUUUAAAUCUGCACUCACGCCAACAAUGCAGGGUAGCAUUAGCCGUAGUUUACUUUAAUCUGCACUGCUGCGAUGCUUUGCACCGUCCGCUCAGUUCUUUGCGCUUAAUGAUGCUGCAGUGAUGGAUCUCAUUUGCGCAGUGUUUUCCUCAGAGCUGUCUCAGAGACCACAGCAAGGUAAACUGAGCCCUUCUGGUCAAAGAUAUAUUACUCAUCUGUUAGUGUUGUGCUUGAUGGAUAUUCCAGGAACUGUGCCUAAAACCACUGGAAAUCUGUUCUUUUUAAUAAAACGUUCCUAAUCGGAGCACUGUAGCAGAAUAUAAGUACUGUGCUUGCAUUAUAUUCCUGAUCUCAGGACCUGUCUGAAUUAUAUUUUGCCCUCUCUAAAAACAAGGGAACAAAUAAUACAUACUAAUGCACUGUAGAGGGGGAACAUAUAAAUGUCUUUUUUUUUUUUUUUUAAACCAAGACUGCGCAAAUGUAGCAUGGAAAUUAUUUUCUUAUCAGGUACACUAUGUAGUGUUUUUCUUUUUAAUCUCCCUUAACUCUGUAAUUUAUGGAAUCAGGAUUCUCAUCUAGCAUGUUGGUGGACUCCACCUGUGUGUAAUAAAGCUGGACUCAAUGGUAUGGACCCAAAAUCUUAAGACA